AGUGAACGCUGGCGGCAGGCCUAACACAUGCAAGUCGAGCGGCAGCGGGUCCUUCGGGAUGCCGGCGAGCGGCGGACGGGUGAGGAAUACAUCGGAAUCUGCCCUGUCGUGGGGGAUAACCUAGGGAAACUUAGGCUAAUACCGCAUACGACCUACGGGUGAAAGCGGGGGAUCGCAAGACCUCGCGCGACAGGAUGAGCCGAUGUCCGAUUAGCUAGUUGGCGGGGUAAAGGCCCACCAAGGCGACGAUCGGUAGCUGGUCUGAGAGGAUGAUCAGCCACACUGGGACUGAGACACGGCCCAGACUCCUACGGGAGGCAGCAGUGGGGAAUAUUGGACAAUGGGCGUAAGCCUGAUCCAGCCAUGCCGCGUGGGUGAAGAAGGCCUUCGGGUUGUAAAGCCCUUUUGUCCGGGAAGAAAUCGUCUGGGCUAAUACCCCGGGCGGAUGACGGUACCGGAAGAAUAAGCACCGGCUAACUUCGUG
rnacentral:rRNA from 1 species